UAAUACAGAGGGUGCGAGCGUUGUUCGGAAUUAUUGGGCGUAAAGGGCGCGUAGGCGGUGCGGUAAGUCUCCUGUGAAAUCUCCGGGCUCAACUCGGAGCGGUCAGGGGAAACUGCCGUGCUUGAGUGUGGGAGAGGUGCGUGGAAUUCCCGGUGUAGCGGUGAAAUGCGUAGAUAUCGG
rnacentral:rRNA from 1 species